rnacentral:rRNA from 1 species
GAGUUGAUCCUGGCUCAGGACGAACGCUGGCGGCGUGCCUAACACAUGCAAGUUGAACGAGUCCACUCCUUCGGGAGUGAGGCGAGUGGCGGACGGGUGAGUAACACGUGAGCAAUCUAUCCUGUUGCGGGGGACAACGAGGGGAAACCUUCGCUAAUACCGCAUGGUCGGGAAUCUCGAUGAGAUUUCCGGGAAACGUGGCCUCUUUACAAUGCUACGGCGACGGGAGGAGCUCGCGGGCUAUCAGCUAGUUGGUGAGGUAACGGCUCACCAAGGCGACGACGGCUACGGGGUCUGAGAGGACGACCCCGCACAUUGGAACUGAGACACGGUCCAGACUCCUACGGGAGGCAGCAGUGGGGAAUAUUGGGCAAUGGCCGAAAGGCUGACCCAGCGACGCCGCGUGUGGGAGGAAGCCCUUCGGGGUGUAAACCACUGUCAGGAGGGACGAAAGAGCUCAUGGUGAAUAAUCAUGGGCAGUGACGGUACCUCAAAGGAA